rnacentral:rRNA from 1 species
GUGCAGCAGUCGCGAAAACUUUACAAUGUGCGAAAGCACGAUAAGGGAACUCUGAGUGCCUCCUAAGGAGGCUGUUCAGGUGUCUAAAAAGCACCUGAAGGAAGGGCUGGGUAAGACCGGUGCCAGCCGCCGCGGUAACACCGGCAGCCCAAGUGGUAGCCACGUUUAUUGGGUCUAAAGCGUCCGUAGCCGGCUGGGUAAGUUCCUUGGGAAAUUUGGCUGCUUAACAGUCAAGCUUUCAGGGAAUACUGCCCGGCUUGGGACCGGGAGAGGUCAGAGGUACUCCAGGGGUAGGGGUGAAAUCCAUUAAUCCUUGGGGGACCACCGGUAGCGAAGGCGUCUGACCAGACCGGGUCCGACGGUGAGGGACGAA